rnacentral:rRNA from 1 species
AUUGAACGCUGGCGGCAGGCUUAACACAUGCAAGUCGAGCGGGGAAAGGUAGCUUGCUACCUGACCUAGCGGCGGACGGGUGAGUAAUGCUUAGGAAUCUGCCUAUUAGUGGGGGACAACAUCUCGAAAGGGAUGCUAAUACCGCAUACGUCCUACGGGAGAAAGCAGGGGACCUUCGGGCCUUGCGCUAAUAGAUGAGCCUAAGUCGGAUUAGCUAGUUGGUGGGGUAAAGGCCUACCAAGGCGACGAUCUGUAGCGGGUCUGAGAGGAUGAUCCGCCACACUGGGACUGAGACACGGCCCAGACGCCUACGGGAGGCAGCAGUGGGGAAUAUUGGACGAUGGGGGGAACCCUGAUCCAGCCAUGCCGCGUGUGUGAAGAAGGCCUUUUGGUUGUAAAGCACUUUAAGCGAGGAGGAGGCUACCGAGAUUAAUACUCUUGGAUAGUGGACGUUACUCGCAGAAUAAGCACCGGCUAACUCUGUG